GGGAUUAUAGCUCAGGUGGUUAGAGCACACCCCUGAUAAGGGUGAGGUCAUUGGUUCAAGUCCAAUUAAUCCCA
rnacentral:tRNA from 1 species